GACGAACGCUGGCGGCGUGCCUAAUACAUGCAAGUAGAACGCUGAAGGAGGAGCUUGCUUCUCCGGAUGAGUUGCGAACGGGUGAGUAACGCGUAGGUAACCUGCCUGGUAGCGGGGGAUAACUAUUGGAAACGAUAGCUAAUACCGCAUAACAGUAGAUGUUGCAUGACAUUUGCUUAAAAGGUGCAAUUGCAUCACUACCAGAUGGACCUGCGUUGUAUUAGCUAGUUGGUGAGGUAACGGCUCACCAAGGCGACGAUACAUAGCCGACCUGAGAGGGUGAUCGGCCACCCUGGGACUGAGACACGGCCCAGACGCCUACGGGAGGCAGCAGUAGGGAAUCUUCGGCAAUGGACGGAAGUCUGACCGAGCAACGCCGCGUGAGUGAAGAAGGUUUUCGGAUCGUAAAGCUCUGUUGUAAGAGAAGAACGAGUGUGAGAGUGGAAAGUUCACACUGUGACGGUAUCUUACCAGAAAGGGACGGCUAACUACGUG
rnacentral:rRNA from 1 species